rnacentral:rRNA from 1 species
GUAGGCGAUGGAUAACAGGUUGAUAUUCCUGUACCACCUAUAAUCGUUUUAAUCGAUGGGGGGACGCAGUAGGAUAGGCGAAGCGUGCGAUUGGAUUGCACGUCUAAGCAGUAAGGCUGAGUAUUAGGCAAAUCCGGUACUCAUUAAGGCUGAGCUGUGAUGGGGAGAAGACAUUGUGUCUUCGAGUCGUUGAUUUCACACUGCCGAGAAAAGCCUCUAGAUAGAAAAUAGGUGCCCGUACCGCAAACCGACACAGGUAGUCAAGAUGAGAAUUCUAAGGUGAGCGAGCGAACUCUCGUUAAGGAACUCGGCAAAAUGACCCCGUAACUUCGGGAGAAGGGGUGCUCUUUAGGGUUAACGCCCAGAAGAGCCGCAGUGAAUAGGCCCAAGCGACUGUUUAUCAAAAACACAGGUCUCUGCUAAACCGUAAGGUGAUGUAUAGGGGCUGACGCCUGCCCGGUGCUGGAAGGUUAAGAGGAGUGGUUAGCUUCUGCGAAGCUACGAAUCGAAGCCCCAGUAAACGGCGGCCGUAACUAUAACGGUCCUAAGGUAGCGAAAUUCCUUGUCGGGUAAGUUCCGACCCGCACGAAAGGCGUAACGAUUUGGGCACUGUCUCAACGAGAGACUCGGUGAAAUCAUAGUACCUGUGAAGAUGCAGGUUACCCGCGACAGGACGGAAAGACCCCGUGGAGCUUUACUGUAGC